rnacentral:misc_RNA from 1 species
UUAAGUUCAGCGGGUAUUCCUACCUGAUCCGAGGUCAACCUUGAAAAUUUAGGGGGGUUUCACGGCCAGAACCCGCUACACGUCCAGAGCGAAGAGCAAACUACUGCACUCGGUGUGAUAGCGAGCCCGCCACUGAUUUUAAGAGGCUGCGGGGGCCGCAGGGCUCCAACACAAGCCUGGGACUUGAUGGUUGAAAUGAC